UACAGAGGUCCCAAGCGUUGUUCGGAUUUACUGGGCGUAAAGGGAGCGUAGGUGGCAUUCUAAGUCUGAUGUGAAAGCUCUGAGCUUAACUCAGAAAUGGCAUUAGAAACUAGUUUGCUCGAGGAUUGGAGGGGAGAUUGGAAUACUUGGUGUAGCAGUGAAAUGCGUAGAUAUCAAGUGGAACACCAGUGGCGAAGGCGAAUCUCUGGACAAUUCCUGACACUGAUGCUCGAAAGCUAGGGGAGCAAACGGG
rnacentral:rRNA from 1 species